GUUUGUAGACUGCAUAUAAAAUCAUUUAUUCUGAAGGUGGUCCCGAAGAGAACAAAUCGUCCUGGUAUCAGCACCACCAAUAGGAGGCCCAGGGGGCGAGGUGUAACCAGAGGUGGUGGUCGAGGAACACCUUAUUUUAAUGGACCAUUUAUCCCUAGAACUCGUCGGCCCUUUGGGAGAUAUCGCAGGGCAGCUUAUUACAGUCCUUAUUGAAACAUUCACUGCAUAUGAAAAAAAAAAGAAAAAAGAAGAAAAAAAAAGAAUAAAUGAAUUAAAAAAAAAUGUAAUAGACCUUUGUCUGACAUUGAAUUUUUGAAAAGAAAAAAACAUCAGGCUUUAAAUUUUAAUUUGAUUCCACAUAUACAAAUGUUUAAGGGAACUAUAAGUGUUUGGAGACGUUCCGUUCAUGGGUGUCAUUUUAUAGUUCUUUAUAGUUACUAAUAAGUCAUUUCUUUUUUUCAGGCUUUCAUCCGCACACGAGGUGCAAAGCUAGUCAAUGUCUUUCUUUGUCUCUUGUCUUUUCCCAUAUACUAUACAAGAUUAAAAAAAACAACACAGGGCACUAGAGUAUUACGAUUAAAAUUAUAUAAAAAAAAAGAUUCCUUAAAAAAUAAAAGUGGAAUCAAUAAAUUUUAAAAAUGUUAUUAUUUAAAAAAAUAUAUGUAAAUUUUUGAGAAAAAAAUGUCUUUUAAGACUCCCAAAAAAAAGCCAAUAUAUAUGAGAAAAGAAAAUUAAAGGUUGAGAAAACAAAUGGUCUUGCUCCCCUGACCUGUUAUUUCUGAUUGUGUCCUGCAGUGUAUGUAUUUGUAAGGUAUGUAUAUGUAUCAUUUGAACUUUUUUUUUAUUAUUAUGUCUUAUUUAUGAACAUUUUAUAAUAAAUAUUUCAAAUAAUG
rnacentral:sRNA from 1 species